UGGGGAAUAUUGCACAAUGGGCGCAAGCCUGAUGCAGCCAUGCCGCGUGUAUGAAGAAGGCCUUCGGGUUGUAAAGUACUUUCAGCGGGGAGGAAGGUGUUGUGGUUAAUAACCUCAGCAAUUGACGUUACCCGCAGAAGAAGCACCGGCUAACUCCGUGCCAGCAGCCGCGGCAAUACGGAGGGUGCAAGCGUUAAUCGGAAUUACUGGGCGUAAAGCGCACGCAGGCGGUCUGUCAAGUCGGAUGUGAAAUCCCCGGGCUCAACCUGGGAACUGCAUCCGAAACUGGCAGGCUUGAGUCUUGUAGAGGGGGGUAGAAUUCCAGGUGUAGCGGUGAAAUGCGUAGAGAUCUGGAGGAAUACCGGUGGCGAAGGCGGCCCCCUGGACAAAGACUGACGCUCAGGUGCGAAAGCGUGGGGAGCAAACA
rnacentral:rRNA from 1 species